AGUGAACGCUGGCGGCGUGGAUUAGGCAUGCAAGUCGAACGAUCCCGCAAGGGAUAGUGGCAAAAGGGCGAGUAACACGUGAGCAAUCUGCCCUUGAGUGGGGAAUAACCCUGGGAAACCGGGGCUAAAACCGCAUAAGACCACGGCCUGGCAUCAGGCUGUGAUCAAAAGGGGGGACCGCAAGGCCUCCUGCUCGAGGAUGAGCUCGCGUCCUAUCAGCUAGUUGGCGGGGUAAUGGCCCACCAAGGCUUUUGACGGGUAGCUGGACUGAGAGGUUGGUCAGCCGCAUUGGGACUGAGACACUGCCCAGACUCCUACGGGAGGCAG
rnacentral:rRNA from 1 species